GGAACGGGGAGGCAGGGGAGUCUCGGCAGCUGAGAACAAAGCCAACUGCUAUUUAUCUCAGCCUGAAGAAAGCUGGGAACGUUUUAAAACUAAACAGGCAGUUAUGACUCAGCUUCUCCUACUAAGAGUUUCCUGAUAGCCACAAAGACAUGUUUUUUAUUUAAACCUAAAAUGGCUCAGAUCAGUGGAAAGCCUGUGUGCCGCUCUUUGAGGCACAGAUCUUUCUCUCUCUGCAGCCUGUGCAGGUAGCAUUCAGACUACUCAUGCUCUCUCUCAAGAGUGGUUUAUACUUUCUUUGAGCUCAAUUGAUAUUCCCUGGAUGAGUCUCUUGGAUUCUGAUGAUUUUCCUCAGUGGCUUCCAGUCUGAUACCAGUAAGACGGAUAUUAAAUGAAAAAAAGACUACUGGGACCCAGACACCUAAACCCAAAUGCAGCCCCGGGAUGACAUCACCUCGAAGCACAAGAACGUACCUUUGUGCUAUAGCACUUCCCCUGCUGGCUCCUGCCACACAUCUCGCUCUUCCCGCAUAUGCCCCUCUUUUGCCCAGAAAUGCUCCCUGACCUCCACUGAAUGCAAAACACCACUGUCUAGUCGGAGAGAGCCCUUUGGGAAUCUGUGAACGCUGGCAGUCUGCGGCGGUGCAAAGGAGCUCCUAUUCAAACAGUGUGUAGCAAGCCACACACCUCAGCAACCCACAGUAGGGCCUCUGCAGCCAAUUUCAGCUGCUUUACAAUGCUGUCAAAGCUGAAUGGAGUGCACUGAUUAGGCAGACAUGGCAACUGUGGCUAUUUAAUUAUUUUCAAGGUUGGAUACUCUUUGAUGGGAUGUACAAUGGUGUACGUUUUAAUCUUGUUACAGUGCAAUAUUGCCAUUAAAUAAGCAGAGUGAAAAAGUUGCAUUUGUAGCCUUACUUCAGAAGGAACUGCAGGCAUAGUUUGCAGUCGUACAGUCAUUAACAGAUUUGUUUAUAGCUGGCAUGCAUGCUUGCCUAUUUAAUGAGGCCUGUGACAGCCUUCGUGACAUGCAAGCACAAGAGAAAAAACAUCCGAAGCAUAUCUUGGCCAAUGUUAUUUCACGCAGAGAAAGGAGGGAGAGAGGAGGGGGGUUGGAAGUGAAUGCACUGCCCAAGAAAGCAAGGACUACAAAAACAACUGAAGAGAAGCUUGAACAGAAAACACAGGUCUACAGGGAUUGUGGGCAAAAUGAGGGUUGAGUGUCUCCCUUUAGAAAGCCCAAGGCACCCAGGGUUCCCCUGUAACUGAGUACAUCUCCUUCUCAGCACAGAAGUUCUGCAGACGCCCCUCAUCACUGCGGCAAAGGAAAUUACUCCUGCAGGUGAAAGGAUAUUUUGUGAACAGUGCUCAGCCCACCUGUGAACUUUUUAGGUGUGUGUGUGCAGACAUAUCCACUGGAAAAGUCUUUGAGGAAUUAUGAGGAAAUGUGAUGUGUUCAGAGCUAUAAUGAGUUAUUUCUAUUUAGCCAUGGCUGCAACAUAACCAGGGACUCCACUAUAAUUUCAAAAAAGAAGGAAACAUACUUUCCCUGAGAAAAUCUGGUAAGCUUACCAUUA